GAUCUGGCUCAGGACGAACGCUGGCGGCGCGCCUAACACAUGCAAGUCGAACGAGAGAUGAGGAGCUUGCUCUUCAAAUCGAGUGGCGAACGGGUGAGUAACGCGUGAGGAACCUGCCUCAAAGAGGGGGACAACAGUUGGAAACGACUGCUAAUACCGCAUAAGCCCACGGCUCGGCAUCGAGCAGAGGGAAAAGGAGCGAUCCGCUUUGAGAUGGCCUCGCGUCCGAUUAG
rnacentral:rRNA from 1 species